GUGUGUGUGUUUCUAUAGUGUAAAGUGUAACGUUUAUGAGACAGACAGCGAGGGCUACAAGGUUUCAGUUUAAAACUAUGAGCUCAGCAACAACAUUAGAUAAUGGGGGGAAUCCCAAGUUUGGUCAAGUGGAAAUUACUUUCUCUACCAAACAUCUUUUUUAAAUUAACUGCAUGUGUAUAACAUUUAAACAAGAUUAAGAUGCCAUGUUAAAAAUAAAAACCUUGAAAGACAGCUGAGAACCACCGCAACAUUGUAUUUUCUUUCAUUUUAGGCGAAAGAGUCCCGCAAUAACACAACAGAGACCAAAUUCAAACCUAGAAAAAGCUGGCAAAAACAAACAAAUGACAAAACACACGGAUAACACAACGUGAAUGUGAACAGCCAGCACAACUACACGCGCUCGCACUUAACGAGAAAAUAAACGUGCAGCUGCGUCUUUAUUAUUUGAAUAACACCAAGCCUCAUGGCUACUACAAUCAAGACAUGUGACUGGAGAUUUGGAUAAAAUAUCUUACCAGGCACAACAAAAACCGAUAGCGAUAGAAAACGAACAAAAACAUCUUUAAUCCAGAGCAUCGCGCUGACUCGUCUAGGUGAAUUUCACAGUGUUUACAAGUUUACCACCUCUACUUCCCUACUGUGUAUCGAUGACAUCAACCACUCUUGCUCGCUCGUGCUAGGGAAUUCCCCACUUCCUCAAACCAGAGCUACAAAGAGCAAGAGUCGUAUAAAUUCAACGCGUGGCCAUCAAGCUACAGUCAGAACCAUGCCUUACUUCUCGGAAUUCGUCGCCUGUCUUGUAAUUUUAGCUGUGACGGAGGGAGUCCGGCACGAGAUUCGUUUCAUCCGUGGUGAGGACGCAGUCUUGAGCUGUGCGGCGAAAUCAAAGCCCGCCGUCCGGUACCGUUCGGUCACAUGGUACAAGGUAAAGGUCAAAAUUCGUAUAUUUUUCUAGAACCUUGCGUUUUAUCCUCACAUAUGAAUGUUUUGUACUAGGUGUUUCAAUAACCACUGCAACUCAAGUUUUCUUUUUUUUU
rnacentral:lncRNA from 1 species